rnacentral:misc_RNA from 1 species
GGCAGGAUCAGCAACAAGCCAUCCCUUGUACUUGAUUAAGAGUGUCGAAAUGACCACCCCAACACUACCCAAGGUGUCAGCCAAAACAUGCAAAAAGAUGCCUUCCAUGUUAUGAUCAAUGUGGCGGUGUUGGUGGUGAUGUUUCUCAGUGACACCUUUGUCUGUAGUAACAUGUUUAUGACCAUGAGAACAAUCUGGUCCUCGAAAACUUGCAACAGAGUCAUUAUGCACCUUAAUCGAAGAACUACUUAAGGUGACACCAUGACAAUGUUGGUCAGCAUCACCAUGAUGAUGGUGUCCAUGAUUAUGGUCAUGGGAGUGAUCAUGAGGAUGAGGAGUAUUAUUUUCAUUCCAUUCUUUUUCUUUCUUGCUUUGGUUUUUAUAGUCAGCAUUAUGUCCAUUACCAGCAUGACUAGAACAUGAUUCAUGGCAUUCAUGGACAAUACUGAUUUGUUCCUGUUGUAUAUGGUGACCACCAUGAUCAUGAUCAUCAUGUAAGUGGUGAAUAUGAUGAUCAUGGCAUGUGGAAGGAGAGUGGGAAUGCGAAUGAGAAGUUGUGGAGAAU